CGCCCUCGUCCCGCCGGCACGCCUUAGGGGCUCCGCCGGCGUCGGGUUCUGGCAGCGGCGGGGCUCCGCUUCCAGAAGGCGAGCGCUCGGGACCCGGCGGCCGCGUGUGCACGUGGGAGCACAGAGCCGGGAGCCGCAGCCACCCACCGCUGCCCGGUGGGAUCUGCCUGCACACGCGGCACACCGCCUCGGUCGCUACAGACAGACUUACCGGAAGCGCCGAGCUUUUGCUGGGGCGCGCGUCCUGCCAGGAGGGGCCCCAGAGAUGCCGGUUUGUUGUGUUGCACACCACAUGCCCUGCAGUGGCGUCCAGGCCAAGUCGGGCUCAAAAGCCGCCCCAGAAAAACCCACAGAGGGGGGAAAAGUGAUCACCUUUAUGUGCCGGAAUUAGAGCGCUUUGUACUCCAUGUGAGAUUUGACUUUGUCCAAAUUUUUUACCAUAAACAAAUUGCUUUUGUA